ACAUUCUUACAACAUAGUGUUAAUGCACUAGAUCCCAUUACAACUCCAUAGUUAAGCAUGGCCAUGCUAGAGUAGUACUGAGAUGGGUGAUCUCCCAAGCAAUCCAAGUAUUUUACAUGCC
rnacentral:rRNA from 1 species